rnacentral:lncRNA from 1 species
AUGUCAUUCUUUUUUAUGGCUGAGUAGUAUUCUAUUGUGUAUAUAUACCACAUCUUCCUAAUCCAAUCAUCUGUCAGUGGACAUUUGGGUUGUUUCCAUGUCUUGGCUAUUGUGAAUAGUGCUGCAAUGAACACGUGGGUUGCACGUGUCUUUUUUAAGGAAAGUUUUGUCCAGAUAUAUGCCCAAGAGUGGGACUGCUGUGUCAUAUGGUAGUUAUAUGUAUAGUUUUCUAAGGUACCUGCAUGCUGUUCUCUACAGUGGCUGUACCAGCUUACAUUCCCACCAACAGUGCGGGAGGUGGAACCCUGAUUUUAAAUCACGGUUAAGGAAAUGUUAGUCCCUCUCCCAAAAAGAAUUUCAUUCUUAUCAGUAGUCCUCUGUUACAAAGUAUUAUGCUCAAUUAUUAUCAUAUUUUGAGUUUUGUCCCCAAAGAAAUGAAAAUAAGGUUUUUUUUUCUCUUGCUAUAUGAGUAUCUACAUAAUAUUUUUGUUUUGCCUCCUGGCCCACAAAGCCCAGAGUAUUUACUAUCUGGUCCACAGAGAAAGUUUGUGGACAUCUGCUGUAUGAUAAGGUUUUACUUGAGCUGUCCUUUAGGAUUUAUCAUGUUUUUUUUCUUCCCUACCAUCUCCUAUGGUCUGUGCAGCUUUAUGAAGUGGUUAAAACAGAUACCAUUAUCUUUAUUUCAUGCAGAGAUUUUUCAAGUUGAGAGAAAUUGAGAAGUAUGUCCUGUUACUUGAGUAGUCCUUGGAGUUUUGGGACUAACCAUCACUGAACCAUCAUAGCCACUGCUUGUGGGUAAAAUACUGCUGUGCUUUGAAGGCCAUGGAGAUGCUGGUCAAAUAAUCCUGUUUGAGAGGAGAUGGUAGACUCAUAUACCUGGGAAGCAAAGGGUCUUCUGUGAGAGGAAGAAUCAGAACCACAGGUCCUGCCUCUGGAGAUUCAAGGUCUGGGACACCUGGUGUGGUUGGUGCAUAUUCAGUGCUUGGCUUGCCUGAAUAGGGAUGUUCCUUUUGACCCAGUGGUGUGGUUAAAUUGCACCCUGCCCCCCGCCCCCGUAGGUGUUGAGGUCCCAGCCCCCAGUACCUGUGAGUGUGGCCUUAAUGGAAAUAGUGUCUUUAGGAAAGUAAGCCAGUCCAAAGGAAGUCAUGAGGGUGGGCCCAAAUCCAAGAAGGUUGGUAUCCUUAUAAAAGGGGUAAUUGGGACACAGAGAUGGACACAUAGCGGGAAGACAAUGUGAGGGCAUGGGGAGAGCAUCAUCUUAAAGCCAAGGAAUGCCUGAAGCCACCAGAAGCCAGGAGAGGGGCCUGUGCAGAUCCUGCCUCACAAGCCUCAGAAAGAACUAGCAUUGCCAACAUCUUGGUCUUGGCCAUCCAGCCUCCAGAACUGGGAGAAAAUACGUUUCUGUUGUUAAGCUACCCUGUUGGUGCUGCUUUGUUAUAGCUGCCCUAGGAAAUUCGUUUACCCAUAGCCUGGCGGGGUGGGUAUGCCUUGGAGAUAGUUGUGACAGGAAAGUGAAGAGCUUAGCCAUAGUGGCCCAAGUGGGUCCUGACCCUGGGCUGGGCAGUCCUGACUCAGCAGGCAAGCAUGGCAAGUCACAGCAGGUAGGACUGGAGAGAGGAGCAUCCACAGCCUCUGUGUGACGCUGAGUGGCAUCCUUGGCCGUGACCGCAUCUGACUCUGGGUCCCUGCACCGUCUUGAACCUACAAAUGCCUUUGGACUUGUGGAUCAUUUGCUGGAUACUGCUUGAGAGGGAAUUACCAGAUGGCUGGUUAAUGGAGCAGGUUAAAUAUUCAAAGAAGUUAUUAAAAGAGAUGUGACUCCCUUUGUAUUUCUAGGUUGAGAACUAGCUCAUCCAGUUAAAUUCACAAGAGAGACCUCAGUCAUCUGCAGGUUCUGAAACCAUUCAAGUGACAGAGCCACCGAGGAGUCACAGACACCUAGACAUAAACAUGGUGUCUGGCCUCUGACCCCGUCCAGAGGCAGCCCACCACAUUGUGGAUUAGUUAUGGGCUUUUGGUUGACUUGUACAUAGUUACAAAGGUGAUCUUCAUCAAAAGACUUAAUUGUAAUGAAUUUCACUAAGAACAGAAAUAUAUUCACUAGGGAAAGGUUUAAGCAUUUCAAAGCCUAUUCACAAUUUAGAACUUUUAUUUGCCAUUUUUAGCUCAUUUUACGACAACUUAUUAAAUUUCUCCAAAGCACUGUUGGUGUUGACAAACAAUAAAUAAGGCUGUUUAAUAUUUCUCAACGUUGUACCCUCAAACUUGAGUUUCUCAGCCUUGGAUGGAAGAUACUUUCUGGCAGGUCUGCUGCAAAUAUGGGCACGCACAUCACCCUCAAUUCUUCUACUCUGUCUGCUCAGCAAAUGACUUCCAGGCAAGAAUAGUGUCCACUUCUAUACUGGGAAUGAGUUUUAAGAUAUCAAAAUGCUAUGUGUUCACCAAGAUAAAUUUAUAUGUACAAAUAAAUUUUAGUUUGAGCCACUCUUGCAUGUCACUCUGGGUCAACAGUUCAGCCAUGAGAACAUUUUCAAAUUUCUCCUGCGUAUUUGGACAUAUUCUGGGAAGCCUACCUGCCUAAAGCACUGAGCAGAGCAAGAUAAUAAUAGCAGCAUCCUUAAAAGCACAAAGUCAAAGCUGGAGUGAACGUGACCCUGCAUGUGUUGCUGGCCACACAGGACCAUGUAUAUUUAGGAGAAUAAGCAAUUGGGGGUCAACUCUAGCUCUAACCUCCUCAGGUCCACUGUUAUCGCAAAAUAAAGGUGGUGAGAGCUUCGUUCCUGUGGGCUAGCAUGGAGCAGUGACCUGUCUGGUUUUAGAUAGUGGCUUAGCUGAGUUUGUCAUGGAUAAAUGUUUCCUUCUCUGAUUCUCUCUCCUCUCCCUCUCCUCCUGCAGUUUGACUUACUGAAGUAAAACCCAAGGGAAAGGGAGCAGACACAGAGGGCCCUCAUGAAAGAGGACACAGAGCAGAAGCAGCGAAAGUCCAGGGCACCACUAACAUGUGAUGCAGAGGUCAAGAUUCCUGCCCUAUGUGGGAUGGGAAACAAACAGCUUAAAUUAAGGGAACUAGAAGUUCCCAGCUCAUAGUAGGGAGGCCAGGUUAUGGAGGGAGCAGCCUUCAUAAGAUGGAGAUAGUUUCGCUGCUAGUGCAGCCUUGCUCAGGAAGCUCUUGAUUGUAUAUCCUCACAGCCUGGGCUUCUACUACUUGUCUGUAAACACAAGGGCCUGUGUUCAGAGUUUUCCCGAGGGUCUGGUGUGAGAGAGAUUGUGAGUGUGGGAGUGUACAUGUGUGAGAAGUGCUGUGCAUUGGAGGAAGGAGGGGGAGGAGGGUAGUAAUGAACAGACCAGUGGAUUCAAGCUCAUUUUUCUAAAAAUCAUAGUCAAAAGUUAUGGAUUACAGACCACAUGCCUGGCUCUGGUAGAUGAUGUAGCAGCCUGGGUCUGAGGGCCAUCUGGAGGCUGGAUUUCUCCUUUCUCAGGGGACCCCCAUCUUUCCAUUUAGCUCUUCAACUGAUUGGAUGAGGCCCAUCCACAUCAAUAUGGAUUAUUUCACUUAGUCUGUACUGUAAUUUCACAAAGCAAAUAGUAUUGUCAUCAUUUUAUGGAUGAGGAAACAGGUUUAGAGAAUGUAUUAGAGGUCUUUGGAGAAACAUAACUAAUAAGGUAUGUGUGUGUACAACUCUAUCUUUCUCUGUCUCUCCAUCCAUCCAUCUAUCCAGCCAUCUGUCUAUUAUCUAUCUGUCUGUCUGUCUAUCUAUCUAUCUAUCUAUCUAUCUAUCUAUCAGAAUUGGCUCACACACUCGUGGGGGCUGGCCAGUCCAAAAGCUGCAGGGCAGACGGGCCAGCUGAGAAACAGAAGAAUUGAUGUUGCACCUUAAGUCUGAGGACCAUCUGGAGGCAGAAUCUCUUCUUUCUCAGGAGACCUCAGUCUUUCUCUUAAGGUUUUCAGUUGAUUGAAUGAGGCUCACUCAUGUGAUGGAGGGUGAUCUGUUUUACUCAGAGUCUACAGAUUUGCAUGUUAAUCACACCUAAAAAAUACUUUCACAGCAACAUCUAGGCUGGUGUUGACUAAAUAUACAGGGAUUGAGGCCUAGCCAAGUUGACCCAUAACGUAACCAUCAUGAAGCUCAUGUCAUCAGCCACAAAGAGGCAAGAUUUGCACACUGACAGCCUGUCAUCAGAGCCCAUGGCCUUCCCCUCUACCUUUCCCUUGAUCUGUUUCCCUGGGUGGCUGUGAUGGCCCAACUCCCAGAUGUGUCAGCAGUGAAAUGACCUCACAAUUUCUGCUCUGCCCACUUCCUAGGAGCGUAGUGACCCCGUGGUAAUGUGAGAUGUGAGAAAAUGUCAGUGGCAUUAAAUAUAUGGGGUCAUUUCUUCCCCUGCCCCAUUUAAAAUGAUUUUUUUUUGGGGGGGGGGAGUAGAUCAGUGUAACCCUAUUUAGAGGGCAGCUUGAAAUUAUCUUUUAAUAUAAAAAUGUGAAUUCUCUAUGCUCUGACACUUGUAGGAAUCUUAUUUUACAAAUGAAUAAAGACAUAAAAAUACAA